GUGGGGAAUAUUGGGCAAUGGGGGAAACCCUGACCCAGCAACGCCGCGUGAGGGAAGAAGGUCUUCGGAUUGUAAACCUUUGUCCUAUGGGACGAAGAAAGUGACGGUACCAUAGGAGGAAGCUCCGGCUAACUACGUGCCAGCAGCCGCGGUAAUACGUAGGGAGCGAGCGUUGUCCGGAAUUACUGGGCGUAAAGGGUGCGUAGGUGGCCAUGUAAGUCAGGUGUGAAAGACCGGGGCUUAACCCCGGGGUUGCACUUGAAACUGUGUGGCUUGAGUACAGGAGAGGGAAGUGGAAUUCCUAGUGUAGCGGUGAAAUGCGUAGAUAUUAGGAGGAACACCAGUGGCGAAGGCGACUUUCUGGACUGCAACUGACACUGAGGCACGAAAGCGUGGGGAGCAAACAGGAUUAGAAACCCUAGUAGUCC
rnacentral:rRNA from 1 species